UACGUAGGGUGCGAGCGUUGUCCGGAAUUAUUGGGCGUAAAGAGCUCGUAGGUGGCUCGGUAAGUCGGGUGUGAAAUUUCGAGGCUCAACCUCGAAACGCCACCUGAUACUGCUGUGGCUAGAGUCCGGUAGGGGAGCGUGGAAUUCCUGGUGUAGCGGUGAAAUGCGCAGAUAUCAGGAGGAACACCAGCGGCGAAGGCGGCGCUCUGGGCCGGUACUGACACUGAGGAGCGAAAGCGUGGGGAUCAAACAGG
rnacentral:rRNA from 1 species